GUUAAUAUUAUACAUGUACGAGUAUCAGAUGUCAUUACAUUACCUCGAGACUGUCGUUAACACGAAUGUACAGAAGACAAGCACUAAGUAUUUAUGCCGGGAAACUCCGACAGGGUGAUCCAGACUCUGUGGUAACCAGCACCAAUCCGUAAUAGCAGAAUGCCGAAGCUAGCCAUAUAAACCAUAACAACAGAGUGGUCCGAUACAGGCUGGGACUCAGAAGGGACCUGAAGCUCUCGGUGGAGUUGGGCUCUUCAUCGGCAAUCAAUCGACCAAUAAGCAUAUGACGCUUAUUAUUCUGAGCUAUUUAAGCAAAUCAAAUUAUACAUUAGGAUUUACAUGUGUACAUUCUCGUAUAUACAUGACUAUAUCCUUACCUGCUCCAGAACCCUUAGAGCUUUAUCAUUACGUCCAUUAUUUGAGUGAUAUCGAGCUGAUUCGCUAAGCCACUAAAAGUUUUUAAUAUAUUUCUUUGAUGUUAAUAGAUAAUCCAUUUAAAUACCAGGGAGAGCAGUGUGAAAAUUAAUAGCGGGGUCGCCGACAAUCCCAAAAGUCCUCGCCAUCCAAAGUAGGGAUAUAUGUAUAACCAAGGCCAAGACCACCUCGAAGCACGCUCCCAAUGUCCAGAAGCACUAGACAACGCACUUCCCUUUGUGCUUGGUGGGCAGAAACUCUGCAUACAACGUCACACUACAAAGUACAUUUAUUGGAGAAUGGAAGAGCUGAAUUUUUACGCCAAGGCUAUACUCACGAUUGCGGAACGCAUCCGAUGGUGAACCCAACGAGCCCUCUCAGCGUUAAAAGCCAAGCAUAGCUGGGUGCAACUGAGCUUAGAAUGCUAUAUAAAACUAAGAAUACUCCAAACAAUGUAAGUGCCUGCAAAGAUAUUUACUGAUUUCAUUUAAAGACUAUUAAAGACUCUCACCGAUUUGCGGCCAUAUCUGUUGCUCAGCUGGGUCCAAAAAGUAGAGCUGAUCAUCAUUCCCAAAAACACAAUUGUUGUCACGGAAGCCUGCUGGAACUUGGUUACGUUCCACUCGCAGAACAAUGCCGGACCGAUUAUGCUCAGAAUAGCCAUCUCCAUGGAGUCCGCCAUCCAGCAGAGCCCCACUAACAGGGACAACUUCACAUGAAACCAUCCAAAUCCGAAUGCAUUAAUAGCUUGCUGAACCGUUUGGGAUUCGUUACGUACCAUCGGGGUUAAUGGAUACUGUCUUUAGCUCUAAGUUG